GCUUGUGUGUGUGUGUGUGUGUGUGUGUGUGUGUGUGUGUGUGCAUCUGUUUCCUCUGCUCUGUUUGAACAAUGAGGUGCUGCCCAUAAUGCCUGUGGGAGUCAUGCUCAAGGAAACUCAAGACACACACACCACUGCACUGCUGCUUACACACACACACACACACACACACACACACACACACACACACACACACCACUGCACUGCUGCUUACACACACACACACACACACACACACACACACACACACACACCACUGCACUGCUGCUUACACACACACACACACACACACACACACACACACACACACACACACACACCACUGCACUGCUGCUUACACACACACACACACACCACUGCACUGCUGCUUACACACACACACACACACCACUGCACUGCUGCUUACACACACACACCACUGCACUGCUGCUUACACACACACACACACACACCACUGCACUGCUGCUUACACACACACACACACACCACUGCACUGCUGCUUACACACACACACACACACACACCACUGCACUGCUGCUUACACACACACACACACACACACCACUGCACUGCUGCUUACACACACACACACACACCACUGCACUGCUGCUUACACACACACACACACACACACGCACCACUGCACUGCUGCUUACACACACACACACCACUGCACUGCUGCUUACACACACACACACACACACCACUGCACUGCUGCUUACACACACACACACCACUGCACUGCACUGCUGCUUACACACACACAUACACACACCACUGCACUGCUGCUUACACACACACACACACACACACACACACACACACACACACACACCACUGCACUGCUGCUUACACACACACACACACACACACACACACACACACACACACACACACACACACCACGCACUGCUGCUUACACACACACACCACACACACACACCACUGCACUGCUGCUUACACACACACACCACACACACACACACACCACUGCACUGCUGCUUACACACACACACACACACACACACACACACACCACUGCACUGCUGCUUACACACACACACACACACACACACACACACACACACCACUGCACUGCUGCUUACACACACACACACCACACACACACACACACCACUGCACUGCUGCUUACACACACACACACACACACACACACACACACCACUGCACUGCUGCUUACACACACACAUACACACACACACACACACACCACUGCACUGCUGCUUACACACACACACACACACACACACACACCACUGCACUGCUGCUUACACACACACACACCACUGCUGGUUACACACACACACACACACACACAAACACACACCACUGCACUGCUGCUUACACACACACACACACACACCGCUGCACUGCUGCUUACACACACACUAUAGUGUUACG
rnacentral:lncRNA from 1 species